GGGGAAGCAGAGGGGACGAUGAGUUGACUUUUGCUGAUGGAGCCUCUCUGAAGGGCAAAUUCAAAGUACAGCUGGGUGCUGCAGCACUGGAGUGCGAACUUGUGGCUGUGGUUAUGAAGGAGCCUCGUCAGCUAUGCCUUUAGCCCCUGGUGAAGCAGUGCCAGUCACACUUUGCCAGUCAAACGGAGAGGCAGCAGUAGUAAGACCAGACCAAAUCAAACCAAACCAAGCAAACCACGGGGAAUGGAGGUCAUGUGAGCACACAGCAUAAAGGCAGCUGCCCACAAGCCAGGAAGAGAAGCAUCAUCAGAAACCGACCAUACUGGCUUCCUGAUCUCAGACUUUCAGCCUCCAGAAUGGACCUGAUGAUUGAUUUAGCAUCUUUGGCAUCCGGCCACUGCUCUGCUUGGCCAUACUGCUGCCUUCACCCUCAGCUGUUGCAACUCUUUUGGCCACUUUGUGUAACUGCCCUGCCAAGCCCUGCUUCCUGGCUGUCCAAAGAAAGAAGUGUUUCCUACAGGAGAUCACAACAAAAGGAUGAAAUCUGGGGUGCAGGGGAAGGGUAGCUUCUGAAGCUGGAAAAUAAAGAAGUAAGGAAGGGAGACUGUGGAAUUUACCAGGGAGGGAAACUAAUAUUUCCUUUCAUAUAAGUUGGUACUAUUCUGGCUUUUUACCAUGAUCAUAUAUUAUAUUCAAAAUAAAGCUCUUGUUUUUGAAACAAAAAAAUAUAAACAAAGGAAGGAAGGAUGUUCAUUUAUUUAGAUAAUAGAUACCUAGUGAACCCCUAGUAGACCUUGUACUGGGUCCUGGGGACACUGGUGACCAGGUUCCAUUCCUGAUCUCCUGGAGCAGGGGACACGAAAAGACAUUAAGCAAAUAAUUACACAUCUUUUUACAUCAGUACAAAUGUUGGGACUUUGCAAGAGUUCCACCCUGAAAGCUUCUGUUUUCACUGAAAGAGAGGAGGCAAGGUCAUUUGUUCAUAAAAGCAAUGGAAUUGAGUAGGGGACUUGAAAGAAAUGAUGAGGCUAGGAAAAGCAGCUAUAGGAAAGGGGGCACCAGUCAGACUAAGAAUAUGUAACCAGAGCACAGCUGUGCAUACUUUGCUUGAAUGUCUCCAAGUUCAAAUCCAAGAACUUGAUAUUUUAGGUUGAUUCUAUGUGUAACCUAUUUGUUUUUAAAGAGUAGAGUCUUUUUCUUCCAGCAUGUGUUAGUUAGCCCUGUCUUUAUCACAUCACCACCACCAAUUGUCAUUUGCAGAAGUAUCUUCAACUCAUCAUAAAUUUACUAGUAAUAGCUAACUCAUGUCUAUAGAACUGUUAAGUGACAAGAUAAUAUUUAGAUUAAAAGCUAUAGUUGCAUUCUUAUUAGAGACUUAAUCAGAUUUUAACAUGCUCCUCACAGGGGCCAUUUAGCCCUAUUCUGCUGGGCUUUGGCAAGCACUGAAUGAUUGCCCUCCUAGGGCAGAGGUACUGCAGCCCUGGUUAAGCAUUGAAAAGAUGAUAUUACCAAUAAGUUGACUCUAAUUGUAAACAACAUAUUUAAACAAUUACAUCUUAAUUAAAUUCUUAUAAAUUAUAAGUGCCUCAGAACUUUCUUUCUUAAUCUCAAAUGCAUGUUUCUUAAAAUCAUUCACUAUUUUAUGAGAAUAUAUUUGCUGAAUAUUAGAAAAAAGAGUUAAAAAUAAAAGGCAUUUCUAAAAUUUUUUCUUGUAUGAAAUAUGCUUUCUUUUAUUUAUAAAUCAUUGGUUUUAUCUUCUAUAUAGUGAAUUUCUAAAGGGAUUUAAUGUUUGAUAUUGAAUUGUAUACUAAAAUAAGGUUGUUUUAGA
ensembl:lncRNA SLC38A4-AS1 SLC38A4 antisense RNA 1